AUUGGAUGGGUCAUGCCAUCGAUGGGAUAACAGGUGCUAAGUUUUUUGUUUGUCUUGUUCUAGAAAUGUUGACUAAGUUGGCAAGAAGGGAGAAGACAACCAACAUCAAGCCAGAUCAUGAUAUUGAUGUCUAUAUGAAGGCCUCAACUAUGGGUGAGCAACAAUCCAAUAUUGUUACAGACUACACAUUGAAGUUACAGUCUGCUAGCUGGGGAUCUAGCUGUAAGAUAACAAAUACGACUUCUGUUAUCACGAAAUUGGGAUCUCAUGUCUGCUGCUUCCUUAUAUAUACCUGCAGAUAUUAGACUUGGAGGUCUGUGCUGAUACGCUGGUAGGGAAGGAGAUGAUGAGGGGUAUUUCUGGUGGUCAACGAAAGCAUGUCACAAUAGGGAAGAGUUAAUGUGAUGAAAAAUAGCAGCAACAAAAGAAAGUGAAGGGAAAACAAAAAAUCGAUCUGUGCUUAGUUUUAUGUCACACACAAUUCAUGGUUAGCAAGACAUUCAAUCAACUAUUGGUGGCACAUGUUUGAAGUUUGAACGCUAUUCAUCUGUCCUAAAAGUGUAGAAGCUUUUAAAGCUUGGCUUUAUGAUUUUUCUUGUGCUUAUUUUAUUUUUAGGUUCUUACUUCUUAUAGGCUGCUUUUGUAGAGCCAAGUUUAGACUGAUCCUUGUUAUGGUGGUAGAAAGUAUUUGUAUCAAAGUCACGACAUGGAAUUUUAUCAGCAUUACAAAAUCACAAAUGAUUGUGAACUUGGCAUGAUGUGCUUAUUUAGGAUUCCAAACAUUUGAAAAUCCACUCCACUAUGGUGGACAGUUUGCAUCUGAUUUCCAUUUGUCCAUGGUGGCAAUAGAUAAACUGUGAGCUACUACCUCGCGGUCUCAAUUCCCUGCUACCCCAUUGUUAAGCCUUGCUUGGUACUGCACAAUCACUUAAUCUUUUUGUGUGCUACCAAAGAAAAACAUCCUACGACCUUACAUGCUUACGAGACAACCACGUCAAAGGCUCAAACUCUCCUUCGUUCAUCGACUGCUGUCACACCCAGUUUUAGAAGGUAAACCGAAUACAAACCAUGUACAUGCUAGGAUCAGAAAUUCAUGUACACAACGAUUACAUAAUUGGACAUCAUCACACAAUGCUCAAAUAAUAGAGGAAAAAAGUAUUACUUUAUUACAUCAUGAUGUCUAAAACAUUCACAUAGUCAUUAAAUUAAACAUAAAUCAAAGUGCUAAACGAAACGUAGUAAGAUAAGGCAUUCACAGGCAGCCGACUAGAGUUUGCCGCUAUUUGUGACUAGAGUUCGAUUUGUGACUCCAUGAAAAGCCCGGACUUCGAGUACAUAGACAAUGGGGGUUGCUCGAUGCUGGCUUCGUUGCAGCGACGGACGGAUGAACAUCUGCGUACAUCAGAGGACAGAGACGUUGAAGAAAAUAAGUGGGAGAAAAUUGGCCCUGCCCUAAUGGAAAUCGACAUCAUCUGUGAAGUUGACAGCAACUUCGAGGAUCCACAGUUGUAUCUACAUGCAUCUGCGAGAAGCUGAGACGAAGAAAAGACCAUCGACUGAUUUCAUGGAGACGAUUCAAAAGGAUGUCAACCCUAGCAUGAGGGCAAUUUUGAUAGAGUGGCUUGUGAAA